CCAACUUUCUCCAACGGCGGUUUCAGGGCAUAACCCGUGUGCGCACUCACUCCGAAGGAAACCUCGAGGUAAAAGCUGCCAUCAGGAGAAACUCUUCCUCGCCCCUCAACUGACUCUCAACUUCCUCGUUUGGUCGACAGGCUCCUCCGUUCAGGUAGAAGCUCCUGACACACAAACACACAGCCUGUCCACGUGACCUAACGACGGCAGCCUUGUGAUCACGUGGCCUCGGGCCCAACUUGUAAGGGUCGCGGGGGGUGGCGGGGAGCUGGAGCCUAUCCCAGCGGUCAUCAGGCAGAAGGCAGG